GAAUAGAAUUAACAUCUCAAGAGUCCUUAAGUCUGUUAAGUCUGGAUUUAGAGACUCUGGAAUAAUCUCAGCAUGCCAGAGUAUGAGCAAAUUGGCUACAUCCCCUAUAUACCUAGGCAUCUAGUGGUACAGGGUAGCGUAAUGGCUGCUAUGAUGACCAUUAAUUUGGACUCCAGCUAAGCUACAAGAAGGAGUUCCUUCUGGUAUAGAUCAUUUUUGAUAAGCCACUACUUAAUGGUAUUCCCAGAUUGAAUUUUGGGUCAAUGACUUAAUAUAUGGGAAUGACAACCAUCUAUCCAGGAGUGGAGUUCAUCUGAUGUUGGCUGGUAAGAAUGCAUUUACUUGGGGUCUUACAAAUCUGUUCAACAGUGCUUUGAAGUGAAGAGAAAGUGGGAGGGGGAAAACUGCAUACACACACACACACACAUGUAUGUACUCAUACAAACAUAUGCGUGUAUACCCACAUAUGAUAUAUGUCAUAAGGCAUAGGUACAAUGUAGAAAGAAUAACAGUUGAACUCCUUAGAUAUUCACAGGAGACAAAAUCCAAGAAAGGAGCCAGUAGUAAAAAUCCUGGCCUGAGAUGUCUCUACAUGAAUGCACAAAGGAUGGCUAACAAGAAAGAUUAACUUGAGAUCUCAGUACAAGGAGGUAUAUUUGAUCAUAUAGGUAUCACAGAGUAGGUGGGAUGGGAACUAUGACUUGAAUAUGCCUCUGGAAGCUAUUUUUUAGCUAAAAGAAACCGAAUGGGUAAAAGGGUGUGAGAUAGGUAGGGUAGCACUAUAUAUUAAGAUGGUAUACUUAUGUGAAGAAAUGCGGAACCAUAGUAGGAAAGCAUGAUAGAGAACAUGGUAAAAAUCCUUGGUAGGAGAAACAGAAACACCAUUGUUAUUGUCAUAUAUUUCAGACUACUUGCAUAGAAAAAGGAAUAAAUUAUGAAAAUGAGAAACAUCACAAGCCAAUUACAGAAUUAUGUCUAAUGAGACUAAUGGGGAUGCGGAGGAAAGUUACCAAGCUUUCUAGAUUUCAAAAAGAUAUACCAAAUAGGAAAGUAAAUACAAGUAGCAGAGGAAGAAUCUGAAAACAUGGCCUGAGCCAGUUAGCAGACUGUCUGUCAGAAGUGCUGCAGCAUACACUGAGCUGAUGCUGGUGAGGAAGAAUAAAGACUACAAAAAGUGGUUUCAAACAAAAGCUAUUCUAGUGGGGGGAAGAGCUGAGCAAAAGAAGAGCUAUAGAAUUGAUAUUUUGGUAGGGAAAGCAGUGAUAACAUGACCAAAAAGGAAGGGCUGCUCAGUGUUGACUUUACUUCUGCUUUCUUUGCCAUGGAGAAGGAUCUUUAGACUAGAGAAGACAGAACCCAAGUGGCCAAUAGAGAAUGAACACCCAAGGUAAUUCAGAAGGCAGUAAGAGAGUACCCAGCUAUGCUUGAUGAGUUCAAGUUAACCACAUGCUUAGGUACUGAAGGAAUUGGCAGAUGUAAGUACUGAGUCAUCAGUGAUAUUGGAAAGUUCGUGGCUAGUGGAAGAGGUUCUGUUGGAUUGAAAGGACUAAAGUCCUGAUUUUCAAAAAGGGAAGAGAAUGGAGCCUGAAAAAUAUAAGCCAGUGAGCAUAUCUUUGAUUGCAGGGAAAAUUCUAGAACAUAUUAUUAAAGGAUGGUUAGUGAACAUUUAGAAAAGGAAGUGGUGAUGACAAAGAGCCAGCAUGACUUUAUCAAGAACAGUUCAAGCCAGGCAAUUUAUUCCUUAUUUGACAAUAUUAUUAACCUGGAGAUAGCACAGCUUGGUGGGUAAUGAGUGGGCCCGUGAGUCAACAAUGUCUGGAUUUCAGCACUACUUCUGUCAAAUUUAAGCUGUGGGACUCUAGGCUGAUCACUUAGUCUUUUAGGACCCUAAGCAACUUUGAAAUUACAGAGGAAUUACUGAUCUGCAUUAGUAUAACCUUCAUCAAUGGAGAGAGUUUCCAUACUGGAAGUCUCCCACAGUGAUGACAUCAUAGAUCUGGAUCACCACUUGCAACAAUAAAAGCCCCAAACCAUGUUGGCAGAUUGAGAUAUGCUAAGGAAAUCUUUUUUAACCCUAGGCUUUACGAAAAUAUUUGAUGACGUUUCUGAUGCUAUUUUUAUAGAAAAUAUGGAGGGAAGUGGGCAGGUGAUAGCACAAUUAGAUAAAUCCAAAACGAAUGGAAAAUCUGAACUAAAAAGGUAAUCAUUAAUGGUUUGAAGUCAACAUAGAAAUAUAUCUCUAGGGCAGGGGUUCUGAAAAUGGGGUAUGUGAACUUUUGUUUCUAUUUUGUUUAUGUUUCCUUUACAGAAUACAUAUGAAAUACAUAAUCCUAUGUAUUUCAUUUUAGGUACUUACAAACAGUAUUCUGAGAAGGUAUAGACUCCAUCAGACUGUUGCCGAAGGGGUCCCAUGACACAAAAAGGAUGAAGAACCUCUGUUGCAGUGGAGCACCUCAGAGAACUGUGCUUGGCCUGGAACAUUCUGGAGGACCUCCGCGUUGACAGAGAAUAUUUCUUUGUCUUGGACUUUGUAAUGGAUCUUCUCAACGCCAUUGAAAAAAUCUUUGCUGGGCCAGGAGUAAGACUCAACCCUCCUAAAUUUUCGUCUAGCACACGUCCCACCAAAGCAGAGUUUCUCUUGACACACACUGUACAUUUUCCACCACAAUAGCAAACUGGAACAGUGAAGGAAAUAUCCCUUGUGAGCCUCUUAAUGCUUCCUAGCAGGAUACCCAGCAUUGUAACUUCCCACUUUCCGGAGUCAGCAUUUAGAGAUGGUUGUAAAGACACAAACAAUUUACCACACAACCCCCUGGACAGUGAACUUCAGUAAAUAGGUUCUUGAGGAAAGAUUUAAAUGGAAAGGACAAUGGCUAUAAAAACUUAACAGGAAUUCAUUAGACUCCGCAGAUAGAACAGAUAAAAGACCCAUAAGUACAGACAAGAAGUGGAAGAAAAAUCCUAAAUCAUUAAGAUGCAAUGAAGCUGUGUCACACCACAUUAUAUGGCUCAUCGUAGAGGGCCUGGUCAGUGGAUGUUCAGCUUUGGG